CGCCCGUGUGGUCACAGCGCGGUGGCGCUUGCCUUGCUGUAGCCCGAGCGCGCGUGUGGUGCAGAACCAAACAGCCCCGUUCGGCGCGGGGUUUCAGGCACUACACUUCAAGAAUAAUUUGGCUCUGUUGGAGAGUGUCCAGAGAAGAAUCAGCAAGAAUGAUGAUAGGUUUGAAAUCAUGACCUCCAAUGGAAAACCAGAACAAAGUGGAACUUCUUACCCUUAAUAACAGAAAACUGAGAAGAGAGGCAUGUUCCAGAUGCAGGGCAGACAAGGAGGAAGCAGAGAAUUAACAGGGAUUACUACAAAACAAAAUAUUCUAACAGAUUACAUUGCAGCAGAAUCAGGGGAAAGUCUUGCUGGUCUGUUUCCUUCACCCUUAGUGCCAAGGCCAUAGAUAAAACAAGUGUCAAGAAGCCCAUACAGUGAAGAAGCAGAGCAAUGAGUGGCACAUGGGGGUUGUAACGAAAUCCCUGAGGUCCACAGAAUUUUCCUUUGUGCAGAGACAGUACAG